GGAGUUCCGGGAAGAGUUCUCUUUUCUUCUUAACAACGCGAUAGACCCUGGAAUCGGAUUGCCCGGCGAUAGGGUGUAUUAGUUGGGAAAGCGGCGUAAUUUUUGCGCCGUCCGGUGCGCUCUUGACGGCCCUUGAAAACCCGGUGGCGUGUAUUCGCACCCCUGGUCGUACUCAUAACCGCAUCAGGUCUCCAAGGUGUGCAGCCUCUGGUCGAUAGAAGAAUGUAGAUAAGGGAAGU
rnacentral:rRNA from 1 species